rnacentral:ncRNA from 1 species
UGUUGAGUUGACGAACCCAACACGGGAGUGACUGAACAAACUUGCUGGCAUAAGGCUAGUUAAGGUGAUGAGACACAGGUGGUGCUGCACGUUGAAAACGUGAAUCGACUUACCAGUCGGGUCUCAGACAGUAAGGUAAAAAUCUACUAAUGUAGCAAUGCCCCUUACUUGUUGGUACACAUUAUUCCAACCUCCCACACC